UCGAGGAUCUUCGGCAAUGGGCGCAAGCCUGACCGAGCGACGCCGCGUGUGCGAUGAAGGCCUUCGGGUUGUAAAGCACUGUCGAGGGGGAUAAAAGCCGAAAGGUUUGAUUGAUCCCUGGAGGAAGCACGGGCUAAGUUCGUGCCAGCAGCCGCGGUAAGACGAACCGUGCGAACGUUGUUCGGAAUCACUGGGCUUAAAGGGCGCGUAGGCGGCUUACAAAGUCAGGGGUGAAAUCUUGCGGCUUAACCGUAAUCAGCCUCUGAUACUGGUAGGCUCGAGGGAGGUAGGGGUAUGUGGAACUUCUGGUGGAGCGGUGAAAUGCGUUGAUAUCAGAAGGAACGCCGGUGGCGAAAGCGACGUACUGGACCUCUUCUGACGCUGAGGCGCGAAAGCUAGGGGAGCAAACGG
rnacentral:rRNA from 1 species